AUACGUAGGGAGCGAGCGUUGUCCGGAUUUACUGGGUGUAAAGGGUGCGUAGGCCGGACUGCAAGUCAGGCGUGAAAUACCGGGGCUUAACUCCGGGGCUGCGCUUGAAACUGUGGUUCUUGAGUGAAGUAGAGGCAGGCGGAAUUCCUAGUGUAGCGGUGAAAUGCGUAGAUAUUAGGAGGAACACCAGUGGCGAAGGCGGCCUGCUGGGCUUUAACUGACGCUGAGGCACGAAAGCAUGGGGAGCAAACAGGAUUAGAUACCCGGGUAGUCCAUGCCGUAAACGAUGAUUGCUAGGUGUGGGGGGACUGACCCCUUCCGUGCCGGAGUUAACACAAUAAGCAAUCCAGCUGGGGAGUACGACCGCAAGGUUGAAACUCAAAGGAAUUGACGGGG
rnacentral:rRNA from 1 species